GUAAUAUAAGAACCCGUCUCUUAACUUUUAACUAAAAAAGCUAAGAACCGGUUCUUAAAUAAAAAAACUAAGAACCGGUUCUUAAAUCUCUUAUUUAAGAGCCGGUUCUUAAAUCUCUUAUUUAAGAGCCGGUUCUUAGCUUUUUUAGUUGAAAAUUAAGAGACGGGUUCUUAUAUUCC
rnacentral:pre_miRNA from 1 species